rnacentral:rRNA from 1 species
GGACGAACGCUGGCGGCGUGCUUAACACAUGCAAGUCGAACGGAAAGGCCCUUCGGGGUACUCGAGUGGCGAACGGGUGAGUAACACGUGGGUGAUCUGCCUCGUACUCUGGGAUAAGCCUGGGAAACUGGGUCUAAUACUGGAUAGGACCUUCCCUCGCAUGGGGGUUGGUGGAAAGUUUUUCGGUACGAGAUGGGCCCGCGGCCUAUCAGCUUGUUGGUGGGGUAAUGGCCUACCAAGGCGACGACGGGUAGCCGGCCUGAGAGGGCGACCGGCCACACUGGGACUGAGACACGGCCCAGACUCCUACGGGAGGCAGCAGUGGGGAAUAUUGCACAAUGGGCGCAAGCCUGAUGCAGCGACGCCGCGUGAGGGAUGACGGCCUUCGGGUUGUAAACCUCUUUCACCAGGGGCGAAUUURGGACGGUACCUGGAGAAGAAGCACCGGCCAACUAC